AUAUGUUUUGGGCAGAGAACGACUGCUUAAUCCAAAUGCGACAGAUUACAACCGACGGAUUGUACAAGCAUACGUAAAUCUUAUUGCCACAGCUGUGAAAGUAGUACACCCGAAUGCCACUGAGUACGAUGCUUUUGUGGUUGCCGAAAGGAUUUUCGUAUUUGAGGCAUGGCUUGCUUCGAUGACAAUGCAUCCGGAUGAAAGACGAGACAUUAAGGCCAUUUACCAAAAAUUAACUAUUCGGGAACUAGAAGAUGAAGUGCCAAACAUUCCAUUCCUACAUGGCUUGAACAAAGUGUUCUCUCUAGCGAACAUCACAUUAAACGAGACAGAGCAAGUCGCUAUCUUUGGGAUGUCUUACU